UUACCAGCACGUUAUGUGGGCACUCUAAGGAGACUGCCGGUGACAAACCGGAGGAAGGUGGGGAUGACGUCAAGUCAUCAUGGCCCUUACGGCCUGGGCUACACACGUGCUACAAUGGUCGGGUACAAAGGGUUGCCAAGCCGCGAGGUGGAGCUAAUCCCAUAAAACCGAUCGUAGUCCGGAUCGCAGUCUGCAACUCGACUGCGUGAAGUCGGAAUCGCUAGUAAUCGUGAAUCAGAAUGUCACGGUGAAUACGUUCCCGGGCCUU
rnacentral:rRNA from 1 species